GGAAAAAAUAGAGUGAGAUGCUUUCCUGCCUGCCAGAUGAUGCGUCCAUCUUCUGUAUCCGCCAUACCAGGAAGAUGGCCAAGUUUGUGUUCCUCAGCCGAUGCAGAGUUCAAGAAUGGAAGCAAAAUUUUGAGACCACUUCUCUUUAGGAACAGAAUUGUUCACAAACAGAAGCAUCCAUGAACCCAGUGGGUCAUAGGGGAUUCCCCUCCCCCACCACACACAAAAAGCUGUGGCUGUGAGAAAAUGGAGAACUCGCUGUACAGUGGAUACCAUGAGGAUCUGGACCUGCUUUUGUGUCUCUUACCCUCAGCUUACACUAAACCCAAUUGAACAAUUCUCUGCACUGCACCUCUGCCAUGCUGCCCUGCCUGGGAGCCAGCAGAAUAUGGACUGAAACCUCCACCAACUGUGAGCCAAAAUAAACCUUUCUUCCUUUAAAUUGAUCACAUCAGAAUACCACAUUACCCAUAAUUAUAUUAUCUUCAUGGAUUCUUCUGGUCUGUGACAGAUUGACUUUCCUUGUUUUUAAUGAUCUUGAGAGUUCUGAGGAGUAAUG
rnacentral:lncRNA from 1 species